GCUAUGGGUGAAGAAGUUGUAGGUGCUGCUAACGAAGAAUUUACCAUUAGCUGUCCACCUCCAACGUAAGACAUCAAGUUCUGAAGACAGGCGAACAGGUGUUAGAAGAAUCUGCAAUUGACUAAACUCUGUUCUUGCAACUGAAUUAAAGGGGUCAUAGAAGUGUUUGUAAUCUACCUGUAUCUAGAAGAAACUCAUGCACGGUGAUCCUUGAC
rnacentral:lncRNA from 1 species